rnacentral:rRNA from 1 species
GAUGAACGCUGGCGGCGUGCCUAACACAUGCAAGUCGAACGAAGCACCUUACCUGAUUCUUCGGAUGAAAGUUUGGUGACUGAGUGGCGGACGGGUGAGUAACGCGUGGGUAACCUGCCCUGUACAGGGGGAUAACAGCUGGAAACGGCUGCUAAUACCGCAUAAGCGCACGAGGAGACAUCUCCUUGUGUGAAAAACUCCGGUGGUACAGGAUGGGCCCGCGUCUGAUUAGCUGGUUGGCAGGGUAACGGCCUACCAAGGCAACGAUCAGUAGCCGGUCUGAGAGGAUGAACCGCCACACUGGAACUGAGACACAGUCCAAACUCCUACGGGAGGCAGCAGUGGGUAAUAUUGCACAAUGGGGGAAACCCUGAUGCAGCAACGCCGCGUGAGUGAAGAAGUAUUUCGGGAUGUAAAGCUCUAUCAGCAGGGAAGAUAAUGACGGUACCUGACUAAGAAGCUCCGGCUAAAUACGUG